UGACAACUACAGUCAGUUUUAGGAACUAGAGUGCCGUAUCAUCAGACUUACCCUGUCCUGCCCCACCUUCCCUGCUAACAUCGAGGUGUGUGCAGUUACCUUCUGAGCUUGGAACAAGCAGACUGGAAUUUUCCUCUGCUACCUCUUGUGUAUAAAAUCUUGUUUAUAAAAUUUCAAAAGGAAGUAGAUACACUAGGGAAGAACCUUAAUUCUAAAUUUGGUUCAUGUGUGGCAAAGUUCUUAGCUUCUAAGAGUAUAAAAUAAAUUUUUCAAAAACAG
rnacentral:lncRNA from 1 species